rnacentral:lncRNA from 1 species
GUGCAUUCCGUACAGGCUAUUAAACGCAGUAAGCGUACAACAAUUCAGACCAUUGCGCAUCAGUUACAAUCGUUUCCUUUUUAAACAACUGACUGUUAACCAUUUCAAAAUUUAGGAUUGCACAUUAGAGUUCAGUUGAUCGCUUGACUGACCUCAACCGCUUUUAACGAAUUACCAGAGUAUCUGAUAGCCGGAUAAUAAUCUAAGCUGAAAGGUUACUUGCAACGUGUAUUUGUAUGUGCCGGUUCCCAACCCUGGAUGACUCCGGUGUUAAGGCGCUGUCGACUCUCCUCUGUGUUCAACCUCUAUAUUGGACUCCUAGACUCUUAUGAGGGCUCACAGGAUUUGAUGCGGUCUUUGUUGACCGCAUCUGGCCCAGCACCCGCCAGCACGAGCCGUCACACGCUUGCCAGGGUCGUGGAGUUUCAAAGCCGGACCUUUGCUGCCAUCGCCCAGCCAGAAUUGGGAAUCUUGCGGCAGAUGGAGCCUCAAAGCGCGCAGCAGCAACAACAGCAGCAGGUCCAGCAGCAGGCCACCAUGUAUGAGCCGCUGCAGCAGGGCAUCGAGGUCGCACCCGCGUCCCCGCAGCGGACGUCAACGGGUUUUAAGAAAACAUUUUACAAAAGGAAGCUGCCCUCUCCACCUGCCAUAGAAUUUUCCUCGCCGGAAGGUGCGCAGCCUAAACCGGCCCAUGUGCCCGAAAACGAAGUCGACCUUUUUGAGUAUUGUUGGAAGUAUGGCGCACGGACCAGAAAAGACAUAUAACCCUCCUGCCUUCACGCAUGAUAUUCUCUACUUACGACUUAGCUGCUAAGGGAAGGAGGUCCACCUGGACCCACCUGAACCUUUCAGUACAUCCGUCAUCCGGAAGGAAGAACACGCAGUUGCAUCCACCAUCGUGUUUCGGCCAUGUAAUUGCUCUCUCUAUUUAUCUAUCUACCUAUCUAUCUCUCCAUGUCCAUCUCAUUUGCUAAAAGUAACUUGGGUCAUUCGCAAACGAGUUGUUCUCUGUCUAUUUCUUAUCUACGUUUGACGACUAGUCUGCGGAUUUUCACUCCUCCAUGCCUCUUC